UACAGAGGUCUCAAGCGUUGUUCGGAUUCAUUGGGCGUAAAGGGUGCGUAGGCGGCGCGGUAAGUCGGGUGUGAAAUCUCGGAGCUUAACUCCGAAACUGCAUUCGAUACUGCCGUGCUUGAGGACUGGAGAGGAGACUGGAAUUUACGGUGUAGCGGUGAAAUGCGUAGAGAUCGGCAGGAACACCCAGGGGGAAACCAGCCGACUGGGCAUCUACUGACGCUGAGGUGCGAGAGCGUGGGGAGCGAACCGG
rnacentral:rRNA from 1 species